GACGAACGCUGGCGGCGUGCUUAACACAUGCAAGUCGAACGGAAAGGCCCUGCUUUUGUGGGGUGCUCGAGUGGCGAACGGGUGAGUAACACGUGAGUAACCUGCCCUUGACUUUGGGAUAACUUCAGGAAACUGGGGCUAAUACCGGAUAGGAGCUCCUGCUGCAUGGUGGGGGUUGGACAGUUUCGGCGGUUGGGGAUGGACUUAGGGCUUAUCAGCUUGUUGGUGGGGUAGUGGCUUACCAAGGCUUUGACGGGUAGCCGGCCUGAGCGGGUGACCAGUCAGACUGGAACUGAGACACGGUCCAGAGUCCUACGGGAGGCAGCAGUGGGGAAUAUUGGACAAGGGGCGAAAGCCUGAUCCAGCCAUGCCGCGUGUGUGAAGAAGGUCUUCGGAUUGUAAAGCACUUUAAGUUGGGAGGAAGGGCAGUAAGUUAAUACCUUGCUGUUUUGACGUUACCAACAGAAUAAGCACCGGCUAACUUCGUG
rnacentral:rRNA from 1 species